rnacentral:rRNA from 1 species
AGUUCGGACUGUAGUCUGCAACCCGACUACACGAAGCUGGAAUCGCUAGUAAUCGCAGAUCAGAAUGCUGCGGUGAAUACGUUCCCGGGUCUUGUACACACCGCCCGUCACACCAUGGGAGUCGGAAACGCCCGAAGUCGGUGACCCAACCGUUUAUGGAGGGAGCUGCCGAAGGCAGGUCUGGUGACUGGGGUGAAGUCGUAACAAGGUACC